rnacentral:lncRNA from 1 species
CAGUUAUCCAUACACUAACACUAAAUGUUCAAUGUUCACAAAUGUCUGUUGUACGCACUAUACAGUUCCACUUUGUUUUUGUCAUUGUCAUUUAGUUUUCCUUCACUAUUGUUCAUCUCAGCUGUUGUUGUUGGUCAUCCAUCAUCUCUUCCCGCCUCCGCCAGCUACUGCCAACGGGCGAGUAGAACUCCCAUCGUUAAUCCUUACAUUUUGGUUGCUUUCACUUCUAAUAAUGAAAAUUAACUUCUCUUUCUCCUCUGUUGACUAAUCUCUCUCUGUGUCAUCUUCUCUUUAAACGUGGAACUUGUUGUAUUUAUUGGAAGUUCCCAUGAUGUAUUUGGAGGAGGAACUAACAUUCCCUGUUCGAAUUUCCCUUUUUAUGAUUAAUUUGUAUUAUUCAUUAAUUAUUUUCUUAAUUGACAUUUUUAAAUU